rnacentral:tRNA from 1 species
GCCUCUUUAGCUCAGUUGGUAGAGCGACGCUCUCGUAAAGCGUAGGUCGCCGGUUCAAGUCCGGUGAGAGGCU